UUCUAAGUAAAGAUUGGUUUAAGGUAAUAUAGAUUAGAAUUAAUAUAAAAUUAUGCUAGAAUACCAAAUUGUUUAAUACUCUUUAAGUAGGAAAUAUUAAAAAUUAGAUAUAUAGAAAAGGCCUGCAGGAAAGUCCAAGCCAACAAUGCAUUGAACAUCUGCUUUUAUCCUCUAGAGCUGACAAAAACUAUUUAGCGUACUGUAUUUUCCAGUAUACAAGUUGACAUAGUAUACAGUAUAAACAUUCAAACAUAGUCACCAUUUUUCCAAGUCCUAUUGCAUUUCAAGUGGAAUUUUUGGUCCUCCAAAUUUGUCUUGGUGUAUAAGUCAACUUACCUAUUUUGGCUGUAAAUUUUGGUCUGAAAAAUUUAACUUGUAUGCCAGAAAAUAUUGUACGAUGAUAUCUAAGUGACUUAUUUUCCAAUAAAAAUUGGUUUUGAGUAAAGUGUAAAAAGACAAAAAAAGGAAAAGAAAAAUUUCAAGUAAUCUAUGUUAUAUAUUAAAAGGCAAGUUGUCUGUCUCUGUAUGUGUUGUGUGAACCACUUCUACUCCUACAAUUUUCAACUGAAUUUCACUAAAUUUGACAUGUGAGCUCUCUUUGACUUAAGACGUUUUUUCUUAUAAUUUUUUCCUCGAAAUUCUGCACCCCUAACAAAGAUAGACUACUCUCAAUUCACCUAUGAUUUGGCUUGAGCCAGCAAAAAAACAUGACACACACUCAGCUGGAAAAAAAUCAAUAUUUUACUUUCUCAGCUGUGGCAAGCUCUUAUCGACUGCUUGCACAGUACUGCCAGCAGUAUUCAUUUGUGAGUUACGAUUUGCCUCUGUUUUCAUGUGAGCACUCUUUUUCAAAUAAUUAUUCUGACUUGAACUUGCCACUUCGAAACUCUUACCCAAAAUUAAAAAUCUUUAAUUCAGUCUGUUUGAUUAACAUUUUUGCCAACUACGUUUUACUAUUUUUUGGGUGCUUUUUCCUUAGGACUUUUACUAUUGCAUAAACUGAUAAUUUUCCACCAUGCCUCAAUGCAAAAGAUCCAAUAUAGGUCAGCAAACAAAUGCUGCAAAGAAAAGUAAACAUAUGCGUGCAAAUGAAUCUGUUGAGGAUGCUGCCAGGAGGAAUUCUCUCAAUGCACUUAGGAUGGCUUCAGCACAAUGAAGGGAAAGUGAAGAGCAGUGUUGUGAUCGGUUAGCACAUAUUGCUGCGCAACAAGCUGCCCAGAACAAUGAGCAACGUUCAGCAAACCGAACAAGAAAUGCUUCCUCUACUACUGCUGCACAAGCUUCAGAGACUGCAGUACAAUGAGCAGAUUGACUUACAAGAGAUGCUUCCUCAACUGCUGUUGCACGAGCUGCAGCAUAAUGCACAGAUCAACUUCCAAGAGAUGCUGCGCUCGCUACAGAGACUACAGGGGAAAGUCAACAACGGAUGUUGCUCUAUGUGGCAAACAGGAAAACAUCAGGUAACCAUACCCUUGUCACCUUAUUUAUUUCAUUAGCAUAAUCUUCACAGUAUGCUCUCUGUUAAGUGUCCCCAAUUGUGAGGUAGGCAACAGAUACUACACUUUUCAUCUUUUUUGCACAGGCCACAUGUCAAAUUUUUUCUUCAGAUAAUGUUGUAUGUGCAACCCAGCGAAACAGCAGGUAAACAUACUAUUUCUCUUUGUCAUACCUUUAGGCUCAACCUUUCCAUUUGCUAAACAGCACAUGUCAGCAGUUAUGUGGUAAGGAAAAUAAACUCAAUUACUGCCGUUUUUUUUACAUAUCGACCUACUGUCCCAAUGGAAAACAAUGACAAUGGUGUGAGCAUAUGACUCUGCAUGUUCACUAUUGCACUAAAUAAAUCAACCAACACAGGGAACAUCUGCCAUUAUAAUUUCUUUCAUUCAGUUCAGAGGUACAUCCGUGAAUGGUCAAAUAACCAAUCAGGCAUACUUAACAAACAGCCCAGGGCAACGCCAGGUAUGCCCGCUAGUACAUAUAAAGAUGAGAAUGUGUGUCUGUCUGUGUGAAUCCCUAAAACUCGAGAACUACACAACCGAUUUCAUUCAAAUUUUAUACAUGCCUUACUUAGGGUCCAUGUAGUGUCAUGGGCCAAAAAAAUUUUCAACUUCUUGCCUUAUGCAAGCCCAGAGCAAGCUCUUAUCUCUUCUACUAUUUCAGUAUUAUGUGUCAAAAGUGAAACAAUAACAUCUCUAUUGUAAUGUAAGAUACUUUCACUUUAAUAGUUACACUAUUAUCUCACAUAUUACAUACAUAUAUAUUGUGUAUAUAUAUAUUUAUACAUCUGCACAUAUGUAUAUAUUGGGUUGUCCGGAAAGUUCAUGCUGAUUUUUAAAGGAAAGAAAAAGGUCAAUAAAUAAUUGCCAUUACAUAUUUAAUCAAGCAAAUAUGAACCAUUUUGUUACACAAAGCAUCUCCAUCUUUCCUUUAACUUUAAAAUGCCCUCUUCCCAGAAGUGAGGUGGUUUCAUGGCAAAGAAUCCAUCAAGGUAUCUUUUUACGUCAUCCAAGGAAUUGAAAUUUUUACCAUUAAGACUAUUCUGCAGAGCCCUGAAUAAGUGGAAAUCCAAAGGGGCAAUAUCUGGUGAAUAUGGAGGGUGGGGUAAAACAUCCCAGCCGAGCUGCAGCAAUUUUUGUCUGGUUCCCAAAGAAACGUGCGGUCUUGCAUUAUUAUGUUGGAAAACAACACCCUUCCUGUUGGCCAAUUCUGGACGUUUCUCUUGAAUUGCUUUUAACACGUCCAGUUGUGUGCAGUAUUUCUCAGAAUUGUCUGGUUACUUGAGAAGCUCAUAGUACAGAAUUCCUUUCCAAUCCCACCAGACACAAAGCAAGACUUUUUUAGGGUGAAGACCCGCUUUUGGAGUGGCUAAGGGUGACUCAUGUCGCUUACUUCAGGAUUGCUUUCUCUGAACAUUUCGGUAGAAAAUCCAUUUCUCAUCUCCUGUCACAAUUUGCUUUAAAAAAACGCACGUUUUCAUUCUGUUUAUAAUGCAAAUCACAGAUGGAAAUGUGAUCCAAAAGGUUCUUCUCAUUCAACUCAUGUGGUACCUAAACAUCGUAGUGAUUUGUGUACCCAAGCUUCACCAGGUGCUCAUGAACAAUGGGUUUUGAUAGGUUGAGGCUUUCUGCCAAUUCUCGAGUUGUGCAAUGUGGGUUAUUCUCAAUUAAUGACUUGAUUUGGUCAUCAUCUGUAGUGGAUGGUCUGCCUGAUUGCUCUUUACCAAUAAGGCUACAAUCUCCAGCUCGGAACCUUGUGAACCACUUCCGUACAAUUCUUUCAGUUAAAGAAACAUCACCGUAAACUGCGCAUAUUUCUUUGGUGGCUUGUGAGGCAUUUUCCCUUAUCUUCCAUUUUAAAGGGUUACAGAAUUAACACAGAUUAUAGGAACAUAAACCUCCUUCCAUGAAAAGAUAGCUUAAACUGUGCUCUAAAUGGAGGUGUAGUCAACUCCUAUUUUAUGGACUCAACCAUGUUCUAAAAUAAGUCGAAAGGUAAGCUACUAUAAAUCGGCACAAACUUUCCGGACAACCCAAUAGAUAUAUAGAUUUAUGUUUAUAUAUGUACAUAUGUAUGUAUAUAUAUAUAUAUGUAUAAAUAUAUGUAAGCAUGUAUAUAUGUGUACACAUGUAUGUAUGUAUAUAUAUAUAUACCAAGUUCAAUCAUCACCAUUAUUGACUUUUGAGAAACCUUUAGCUAAUCAUCAGAGAUGUUACACGGCUACAUACUAGAGUACUAUCCAAUAUUGAUUACAUCCUGUGUAUUUCUCCAAUGAAGAAACACUAAUUUUAUUUAUAUAUAUAUAUAUAUAUAUUUUACUAGCUUCAGCCAGUGGGCUGUUGCCAUGAUGGAACACUACCACUUUAUGUAUAUAAGGUUGUGAAGAAACAUUAUUUCUCUCAGUCAAUGUUUCCUAUUUCAAUAAGUUUUCUUUCAACGUUUGAUAGUGUUAUAUACACAAGUGCAGGCGUCCCAGAUUGGUCAGUUCAAUGCAGUUAAUGUUCAGCUGAAAGGUGUGUACAUGGGUCUCUGGUGAGAAAACAGAAGUGAAGUGUGAUAUCCAGUAUUUUUAUUUAUGAAUUGCUUUAUGGGCACAUGUUUCAUACAGACCUAGUAAGAGGUUAAGUGGAGCUAACUAGUCCAGCGAAAAUUAUAGUGGUGAAAGAAUAUAUAGAAGAAACAAAGUAUGUAGACCUGAGAUUAUGUUGGUGGGUAACUCUUUGCCAAUAAGUUGAAUAAAUUUCUUUUAUGCCUCUGUACAGUAACAGGUGUAACACUGUCCCAUAUGUGUAGUAUUCCAAUGUAGUUCACAAUUGAGCUUUCUCGCUAGCCAUUAGGACUGAAAUAUUUCUUUACUCCAAAGUACAAUUUUAACCUUUGUGAUGCCAUUUUUGCAUCAUUUCAUAUAUUGUCAUCAUCAUCUAAUAUCCACUUUCUAUGCUGGCAUGUGUUGGACAUUCUGAUAGAAAACUGGCAAGCUGCAGGACCAUGCCAACUUACAAUGUCAUCUUUGGCAUGGUUUCUAUGGCUGGGUGCCCUUCCUUGCACCAACUACUUAAUAGAGUGUACUGGGUGCGUUUUGGGGGCCACCAGUACUAGCAAUGUUGCUAUGUAACUUGCAAGACAAAAAAGACCAGGGAGAAAGGAAAGGGAAAAGUUCCCACUAUGAAGAGAAAGUAUUUGGGAGGAGAAGAUUUACGCCAAAUGUUGAAAGACAAAGUAUGACAGAGACAAUCACAGGUAUCUUGCUAUAGAGAAGAUAUGUGGCUGAAGGAGACAAAGGAUGGUAGUGAUGGGUGCAGGAGCAGACUAUCAAGGAACAAGAAGGCAAGCAUAAGUGAGGAUAUGGACAGUGGGUCAUGGGAGUGAGUGAGAAAAUGUGUGGAUGCUUUCAUAGGAGUGUGAAAGGGGAGUAAAAGGUAGAGGUUAAUGUAAUGAGUGCUAAAUAAGGGUAGGGGUACAGAUGAUGGGGAAUACCAAUAUGUAGAGAGUAAUAUAGGGUAUAUAGUUUGGCUUCAUGCUCAAAAGAGCUAUAAUAGAUGCAAUUUUCCUACUGAAGCAACUGUAAGAGAAAUUGACUGUGAAGAGUAAGCCACUAUUCUUGGUAUUCAUUAACUUGGAAAAGACAUUUUACAGGGUAUUGCAUUUAAUAAUUUCAUGAUCCCUCAGGAAACAAAGAGUAGACAAAUGACAUGCAAGGGCUAUACAAACUAUGUGCAGUAAGUAAAUCAAGAGUCAACUAUUUCAGUGAAGGUAGGAGUACAUCAAGGCUCAGUCCUGUCUUUUUCUAUUCACCGUAGUCCUAUAGGUCAUCAUAGAGGUACUUAAGACUAGCUGUCCAUGGAAACGCUUAUACACUGGUGACUUAGUUAUCAUAGCUAAAUUUAGUGAAAUUAUAGAGGAAAUUCCAAGCAUGGAAGCUAAACCUAGAAUUGAGAGGCUUCAAGGUAAAUUUGGCAAAGACUAAUGUUUCAGUAAGUAAGAAAGAAGAGAGGACCAAGCAUCAUCAGGAGAAUGGUUUUGUUUGAUGUGCAGGAAAGAAGUACGAGGGUUGGCUGAAAAGUUUAUAGGACAACCAAGAUACUCUCAUGGAAUGUGACCAAAUGAGGUUUAUUUUCCAACAGUCGUCCUUGUGGUCCACAUACUUUUUCCCAUUGGCGUUACAGUGCUUAGAUCUCAUUGAAGAAGCGGUCAUUCUGUUGGUUAAAAAAGUCAUCAACAGUAGAUAUGCACAGCAUGACUGUGGCUUUGAACAGUCAUGAACAGCCAUUGAAGCCACAGUCAUUGAAACCAAAGACUUGCAUUGUCCAGAUGAAACAAGACCCUUUUUGUUACUGCCUCAGUAAGUUGGCAUAGUUCUCUCCAUUGAUAAUACGGCUCUUUCAAAAAUAGUCAAUAAACAUCUCAAAAAACCGAGGCCAUCACUUUUCUUGCAGACAAAACGAUCUUAGCUUUCUUUGGAGUAAUGUUUUCACAGCAUAGAGUGUCUUUGGCUUAUCCUGGAUGAGAAAAUAUUCAAAGAAACAAACUGGAUCUGCCUCAAACAGUGUCAGAUUUUCCCAUAAUGUGAUCAGUCUGGUGCACUUUUGAUCCAAUGUCAGAAACCUUCAUCAUGCCAAGAUCAUUGUGCAGAAUAUUCUCAAAUUUCUCAUGAGAUAUACUAAUAGCAUUGGUUACCUGAUUUGUAGUCAACUGCCUGUCAUUCAUCACCAUGUAGUGAACAUGAUCAAGGUUUACCUUGAUGAUAGCAGUUGCAAGAUGUCUAGACACACAUCAGGUUAUCUUCAAGACUACCUGCUCCCCUCCUAAAGUCAGUUACUCACUUUUGCACUGUUGAUGAAGCUAGAGUAUCACCUCCUUGGAACUUUGGAAGAGAAAGACAAAGGAUUUGAAAGAAAAAGGUGACCCACAUAUGCCAGAGAUAUCAAAGGCCAUGGUGAUUGGCACUAUGCAGUGCUACAAAAGACCCACCUGCCAAUGGAAAAAUGCACACACUCUAACAUAAAGAUAGUGAUUAAAAAGCUUUGUGCAUUUCUUUCCAUUGAGCCCACCUUACAAUCUUCCCUCUUGGGUUUUCAUCUCUUCGUUUGUCACUCACAAGCACAUCACUCCCAAGUCACCUCUAUUGCCAUCCAACAAAUCUUACUAUCUGCCCUUACACCUCUAGCCAUUCUUUCUUUCCUUAUAUUCUCUCCACUGCCUCCACAUGUAGAAUGCUUUUGUGAUAUUCACACUCUGCUCUUCUUGCUCCUACCUUUAUGGUGCCUUUCAGUGUCGCAUUGCCUUUACUACUCUCUACUCCCCAGCUUUCAUCACCCCUUCUCUUUUCCCCCUCUCUUACCUAUCUCCACAACCCCACACCUCUUCACCUUUUAUUACUCCCUUCAUACACCUAACCAUGCUUGCCCCUUACAAACAACAUCAUACACAACCCACCCAUAAGGUAUAAGGUAUUUAGGCUGCCUGUGGAAGACAUUUGUGUGAGGAAGGUUAAAAAGGUAUGAAGUGUGACAUUAUCUGCAAGAAGAGGAUAAUAAAUAUUACCAAAAUCUUUGGACUUGAGAGAAUGUGAACCAAAGAAAACUCUUUGGGUUCAUGCUGCAGUCUGACAGAAAGUUUCUACUCUUAAGAAAUAAUAAACAGGUGGAAAUAAUGUGUGUGCAGAUUAACUAAGAAUUUCACAUGCCAAAAACGGUUGAAGACUAUGCUUAAGCCAUGUGCCACAGUACAGCUUUCAGUGAAGUCCUCAAAGGCAAGGGAACACAUGACAUAGAACAGUAAGUUUCUGGUAUGACCCAGCAAUGAAAUGGUUGAGAAACAGGAAGUAAUAUAGGGGGAGAAAGUAGCUGUUGACAAGGAUUUUCAUUUUAGAAGUAGAAAUAUUAAAUUGGCAGAUUGUAGGGCCAGAGAGGAUUUCUUCUUAAGGAAAGGGAUGUGCAACCGAAAGUUAUAAUGGGGGGAGGGAGAGAGAGAGAGAUGGAGUAAAGAGUUUGAUGAGGAUAACAACUCUUAAGAGUGAUGGAAGAAAUAUCAUCAGACCCACUUACUUUGUAUUGGGUUAAUAUUCAUGGGAUUGAAAAUGGUAAAGAAAUUAACAGAGGUUAACUUCUCAUUUGGGAUGUAGUUACAGAAAAGUACCAAAUAAGGUUACAUUUUAGAUUUUUAUUGGUUUGAUCUGGUUGUAAGAACUGCCCAUAGCCUUCACAGGCUGUUAUCUGAUAACCAGGUGACAGAAGUGAAAGUUGGGAGAGUAAAGAGGGCAACAAAAACAGCAAAAAAAUCUAUGGAUAAGGGAUAAGAGAUCUGAUGUAAGGUUUGUGUUAAUAAGUGGUGCAUAAAGCCUAGAAAUCUAUGGAUAUUAGGAAGAAAAAAAUUGUCUGGAGGAUUUUGCUUUAUUUCUUAGCACCAAUGUAGAGAGUAUAACAAGAAAGUCGAUUAUGCUUUGAGGAAGUGCUGAGUAACAAAGGUACUGGUUGAUACAUGAAAGAUUACUGAGUUAUUUGUGCAUGAUUUAAGUAGAGCAAGCAGUGGACAAAUAUAUGACUUGAAUAUCUUUGUCCUCAAAUGGAAUAACAACUGCAGACCAACCCAACAUAAAGGACAUUAAAUAAUUAUGAUGGUGAUGAUAUAUGUCUUUAUAAACCAAACAAUUUUAGUGAAAAGUGAUACGUUUUCAUGAAAUUGAAGAACUGUUUGAUUAGCUUCAGAUUCUGUUGAGUUAAACAAAUGACAGAUGAGUCUUUACUUCAUUUAAGAUAUCAAUUGACUGAAAGGAACAUUCUAAGGAAGUGCUCAUACUAAAUGGUUAGAUCAUACCUGACAACAUUUGCUGGAGACAGUUGAAAUAUGGAAAGAUGCAGAUUUGUUCAGGACAUCAAAAUGACAAUCAGGUGAUAAAAUUCUUUUAAUAAAGUCACUAAAUUAUAUCUUCAUUAAAAAUGAAGCUUCCUUUUCUAAAUUGUAAACCGAAACAACUAAGAAUUUGCAAAUACACUGAGUCAUCAUAAACCAAAAUAAGAGAGUUGUUAAAACCAAAGAGGGAGUCUCAUUAACCUACUAGAUAUAACAACAAAAUUUCCUUCAAAGUAUACAGUACUGUCUUACAAAAGGAUAUAUUGACUGAUGUAGUCUUAAAUACCUUAUGCCUUAAGGGAAGAUAAGAUAGCCAAGGCUGGAAUAAUUUUGAUCAUAGAAACUGUUCAGCUGAAACUAUACAACUUUAAUCA
rnacentral:lncRNA from 1 species